UGCAGUCGAGCGGUAGCACAGGAGAGCUUGCUCUCUGGGUGACGAGCGGCGGACGGGUGAGUAAUGUCUGGGAAACUGCCUGAUGGAGGGGGAUAACUACUGGAAACGGUAGCUAAUACCGCAUAACGUCGCAAGACCAAAGAGGGGGACCUUCGGGCCUCUUGCCAUCAGAUGUGCCCAGAUGGGAUUAGCUAGUAGGUGGGGUAACGGCUCACCUAGGCGACGAUCCCUAGCUGGUCUGAGAGGAUGACCAGCCACACUGGAACUGAGACACGGUCCAGACUCCUACGGGAGGCAGCAGUGGGGAAUAUUGCACAAUGGGCGCAAGCCUGAUGCAGCCAUGCCGCGUGUAUGAAGAAGGCCUUCGGGUUGUAAAGUACUUUCAGCGGGGAGGAAGGUGUUGAGGUUAAUAACCUCAGCAAUUGACGUUACCCGCAGAAGAAGCACCGGCUAACUCCGUGCCAGCAGCCGCGGUAAUACGGAGGGUGCAAGCGUUAAUCGGAAUUACUGGGCGUAAAGCGCACGCAGGCGGUCUGUCAAGUCGGAUGUGAAAUCCCCGGGCUCAACCUGGGAACUGCAUUCGAAACUGGCAGGCUAGAGUCUUGUAGAGGGGGGUAGAAUUCCAGGUGUAGCGGUGAAAUGCGUAGAGAUCUGGAGGAAUACCGGUGGCGAANGCGGCCCCCUGGACAAAGACUGACGCUCNNNUGCGAAAGCGUGGGGAGCAAACNNNAUUAGAUACCCUGGUAGUCCACNCNNNNAACGAUGUNNA
rnacentral:rRNA from 2 species